rnacentral:rRNA from 1 species
AUACGUAGGGGGCGAGCGUUGUCCGGAAUUACUGGGCGUAAAGGGUGCGUAGGUGGCACUUUAAGUUGGAUGUGAAAUCCCCGUGCUUAACAUGGGAGCUGCAUCCAAUACUGGAGAGCUAGAGUGCAGGAGAGGUAAGCGGAAUUCCUAGUGUAGCGGUGAAAUGCGUAGAUAUUAGGAGGAACACCAGUGGCGAAGGCGGCUUUCUGGACUGUAACUGACGCUGAGGCACGAAAGCGUGGGGAGCAAACAGGAUUAGAUACCCUGGUAGUCCACGCUGUAAACGAUGAAUACUAGGUGUAGGGGGUAUCAACUCCCUCUGUGCCGCAGCAAACGCAAUAAGUAUUCCGCCUGGGGAGUACGGCCGCAAGGUUGAAACUCAAAUGAAUUGACGGGG